CGUUAGUUGGCAGUCGAGGGGCAUCGGGAGGGAAGCUUGCUUUCCUUGCCGGCGACCGGCGCACGGGUGAGUAACACGUAUGCAACCUGCCCUCUUCAGGGGGACAACCUUCCGAAAGGGAGGCUAAUCCCGCGUAUAUCGGUUUCGGGCAUCCGGGAUCGAGGAAAGAUUCAUCGGAAGAGGAUGGGCAUGCGGCGCAUUAGCUUGACGGCGGGGUAACGGCCCACCGUGGCGACGAUGCGUAGGGGUUCUGAGAGGAAGGUCCCCCACACUGGUACUGAGACACGGACCAGACUCCUACGGGAGGCAGCAGUGAGGAAUAUUGGUCAAUGGGAGAGAUCCUGAACCAGCCAAGCCGCGUGAGGGAAGACGGCCCUAUGGGUUGUAAACCUCUUUUGUCGGAGAACAAAACCCGGGACGUGUCCCGGACUGCGUGUAUCCGAAGAAAAAGCAUCGGCUAACUCCGUGCCAGCAGCCGCGGUAAUACGGAGGAUGCGAGCGUUAUCCGGAUUUAUUGGGUUUAAAGGGUGCGUAGGCGGUCCGUUAAGUCAGCGGUAAAAUUGCGGGGCUCAACCCCGUCGAGCCGUUGAAACUGGCAGACUUGAAUUGGCGAGAAGUACGCGGAAUGCGCGGUGUAGCGGUGAAAUGCAUGGAUAUCGCGCAGAACUCCGAUUGCGAAGGCAGCGUACCGGCGCCAGACUGACGCUGAGGCACGAAAGCGUGGGGAUCGAACAGGAUUAGAUACCCUGG
rnacentral:rRNA from 1 species